rnacentral:snoRNA from 1 species
GACCUCAUGGGAUCACAUCUGUAGAGUGGCUAGUAGUCUGUUUGCUUCAGAAAUAGGGAAAGCAAGCCUGGCAGAGGCACCCAUUCCAUUCCAUUCCCAGCUUGCUCAACAGCUGGCAACUGGAAGACACUCUGUAACAAUG